UGUAUUGUAAUCUCUAUUACAUGUGAUGUUCUGAACUCUUAAAAAUACUCGCAUCUUCUUUGAAUUUUUUCAGACCUGAAAAAUGGCCAAGCAGAACCAGCCAGACCUCAGACCACGGUGCCGAGGAGCUCUGAGUCCACCAGGACCAAGAGAGAUUCAUACAGCAAGGCAGAGUGUGGAAAGCAGUAAAGAUCUACAAAAUGGCGGACGGAGGAGGAAGUCAUGAAGCCCACUCCACAGAAUGAGAGUCACAUUUGUGUCCAUCA